AGCAAAGCCCUUCGUUGAAGUUUUUGUUGCGGAUCAGGAAAUGACGCAAUGACGUCGACGCAAACACGGAAGUUGUGGAGCACCUUGGGGAGCGAACGCGAAAUGUGCAGCAAUUACCCCAAACCAUUCCCCAGGCUGGAUUUCCAGGAUGUAGACGGGUCUACGGAGGACUCGUUCACGCUAAAUAACGCGCUAGAGGGCGGCCAGGCAUCAGCCUUAACGUCUGUUUGGAGGCGAGGUCUGUCGUCAUUUCCGGUAUGAGGGAUCCUUCCAUCUGCGCCAACUCGUCUGCAGAUGACAGGAGCGUCUCUUCUCGUGCCGCCAUGCGCCCACCUGGUAUAAAGACGGCGUCUCUGCGGUCGGUGAGUUUCUUAAAGCUGGCGCUCCAUCACACCUGUCUAUUAUCAGCGUAAACAGGUGAUUAUGCUGAUUAAAGGCUGGUGUGAUGGAGCCACCAGGGUUGGAAAAUCCAGAUGUGGCUCAAGGUAAACAUCUGACCUGGAAGGUCCUUAAGGUGAGAUUUGUCUUCCAGGACUGUAGCUUCGUACAGAAUCCACACAAACAUCUCCAUCAUCCUCAGCAGGAUCUUUAUUGGGAAUGUUACAGUCAAGUCUAUCAGAACCACUGGACACCAGCUCCAUGGCAGCAGGAAAGGCUCUAUGCUCCGCCUCCCUGAUCCUCUCUGACAGCGUCUCCUCUGUGUCUCCAGGAAGGACAGGGACCGCCUCCUGGACGACGAUGGCGCCGGCGUCCACCUCCUCCUGCAGGACACACGCCACAAAGUGCACCGUGCAUCCCGCCACGCGGACGCCAGCCUCCAGCGCCUGUUUCUGAGCGUUCACUCCUUUGAAGGACGGCAGCAGCGACGGGUGGAUGUUCAGGAGUUUACCUGCAGCAGAAGCAGAAGUUCCAGUGAGGAUCCUCAUGAAUCCGGCCAGACACACCAACUCCACGCCAAACUCCUCCAGGACGCGGUCGAUGGUCCCGUCAAACUCUGCACGGCUGCCAAACAGUUUGUGGUCGACCACCUGGAGGACAACAACCAGUGACAUCACAACAUUCACAUGUUAAAUAUACUUUAUACAUGAACGUACCCGUGUCUGGAUGCCAGCAAGCCCCGCCCUCUUCAGUCCCUGGACGCCUGGUCUGUUAGAAAUAACGACCACGAUCUGCGCCGAGCUGGACGCACGUCUGGUCUGUUCGAUGAGCGCCUGAAGGUUGGUUCCUGCGCCGCACAACAACAACCGUCAUCUUCUAGAAACCUUCCACCAAGAAAGACGCUUAGUGGCCGGACUCACCUGUGCCGGAAAUGAGAACGCCGACUCUGGUCUUCUUCUGUGGCGGGGCGCUGCUGUUGCCGUGGUAACCAUCGUUUUGUUCUGCUGGUCCCGCCUUCGUCAGGCUUUGGUUCAGGUUGCGGACCAGCACAGGUUGAGAACCUGCAACCCAGAAUCUUUUAGGAAAAGCGAAGCUGUGGGCUGAAGUCACAAAGUUCUCCGUCUCACCUGGCUGCCUGUCAAUCAGAGACCCCACGAUCCAGGCCGCCUCCCCCUGGAGCUGUCGCAGCACCUGCUGAGCAUCCGGGGGCGCCACAACCAGCACCGCCCCCAAGCCACAGUUAAACGUGCGGGCCAUCUCCUCCUCGCUCAGGCCCCCCUCUUUGUAAAGCCACGAGAAAACGGCGGGGAUGCUCCACCUGGUGGCGUCUGAGGAAGAGGAGGAGGAAGAAGAAGUGAGCUCCUGACUCCAAACCGCGGGAAAACCUCAGCUUCCUCACCUAGAUCCGCCGCCAGCUUCUCAGGCAGAACCCGGGGGAGGUUCUCCAGCAGCCCCCCACCAGUGAUGUGGGCGUAGGCUUUGACGGCGCCGCUGCGGAGGACGGGGAGGAGGAGGCGGCUGUAGAUCUUUGUGGGGGUCAGAAGAACAUCUCCUGGAAGCAGAAGACCGUCCACAAGACGACUUUAAAUAAAGUUUUUCUGACAUGUGUUUGAAUAAAAACUUGAUUUGAACUUUGAA